rnacentral:rRNA from 1 species
AUUGAACGCUGGCGGUAGGACUAACACAUGCAAGUCGAGCGAGCGGCGGACGGGUGAGUAAUGUCUGGGAAACUGCCUGAUGGAGGGGGAUAACUACUGGAAACGGUAGCUAAUAACGCAUACCAUCAGAUGUGCCCAGAUGGGAUUAGCUAGUAGGUGGGGUAACGGCUCACCUAGGCGACGAUCCCUAGAUGGUCUGAGAGGAUGACCAGCCACACUGGAACUGGGACACGGUCCAGACUCCGACGGUAGGCAGCAGUGGGGUAUAUUGCACAAUGGGCGCAAGCCUGAUGCAGCCAUGCCGCGUGUGUGAAGAAGGCCUUCGUGUUUGAAAGCACUUUCAGCGGGGAGGCGUUACCCGCAGAAGAAGCACCGGCUAACUCCGUGCCAGCAGCCGCGGUAAUAC